rnacentral:rRNA from 1 species
UGGAUCCAGACUUUGAUCAUGGCUCAGGAUGAACGCUAGCUACAGGCUUAACACAUGCAAGUCGAGGGGAAACGACAUCGAAAGCUUGCUUUUGAUGGGCGUCGACCGGCGCACGGGUGAGUAACGCGUAUCCAACCUGCCCACCACUUGGGGAUAACCUUGCGAAAGUAAGACUAAUACCCAAUGACGUCUCUAGAAGACAUCUGAAGGAGAUUAAAGAUUUAUCGGUGAUGGAUGGGGAUGCGUCUGAUUAGCUUGUUGGCGGGGUAACGGCCCACCAAGGCGACGAUCAGUAGGGGUUCUGAGAGGAAGGUCCCCCACAUUGGAACUGAGACACGGUCCAAACUCCUACGGGAGGCAGCAGUGAGGAAUAUUGGUCAAUGGGCGAGAGCCUGAACCAGCCAAGUAGCGUGCAGGAUGACGGCCCUAUGGGUUGUAAACUGCUUUUAUAAGGGAAUAAAGUGAGUCUCGUGACUCCUUUUGCAUGUACCUUAUGAAUAAGGACCGGCUAAUUCCGUGCCAGCAGCCGCGGUAAUACGGAAGGUCCGGGCGUUAUCCGGAUUUAUUGGGUUUAAAGGGAGCGUAGGCCGGAGAUUAAGCGUGUUGUGAAAUGUAGAUGCUCAACAUCUGCACUGCAGCGCGAACUGGUUUCCUUGAGUACGCACGAAGUGGGCGGAAUUCGUGGUGUAGCGGUGAAAUGCUUAGAUAUCACGAAGAACUCCGAUUGCGAAGGCAGCUCACUGGAGCGCAACUGACGCUGAAGCUCGAAAGUGCGGGUAUCGAACAGGAUUAGAUACCCUGGUAGUCCGCACGGUAAACGAUGGAUGCCCGCUGUUGGUCUGAAUAGGUCAGCGGCCAAGCGAAAGCAUUAAGCAUCCCACCUGGGGAGUACGCCGGCAACGGUGCAACUCAAAUGAAUUGAGGGA